rnacentral:rRNA from 1 species
UACGUAGGUGGCAAGCGUUGUCCGGAAUUAUUGGGCGUAAAGCGCGCGCAGGUGGUUUCUUAAGUCUGAUGUGAAAGCCCACGGCUCAACCGUGGAGGGUCAUUGGAAACUGGGGAACUUGAGUGCAGGAGAGAAGAGUGGAAUUCCACGUGUAGCGGUGAAAUGCGUAGAGAUGUGGAGGAAUACCAGUGGCGAAGGCGACUCUUUGGCCUGUAACUGACACUGAGGCGCGAAAGCGUGGGGAGCAAACAGG